GACGAACGCUGGCGGCGUGCUUAACACAUGCAAGUCGAACGGAAGGGCCCUGCUUUUGUGGGGUGCUCGAGUGGCGAACGGGUGAGUAACACGUGAGUAACCUGCCCUUGACUUUGGGAUAACUUCAGGAAACUGGGGCUAAUACCGGAUAGGAGCUCCUGCUGCGUGGUGGGGGUUGGAAAGUUUCGGCGGUUGGGGAUGGACUCGCGGCUUAUCAGCUUGUUGGUGGGGUAGUGGCUUACCAAGGCUUUGACGGGUAGCCGGCCUGAGAGGGUGACCGGCCACAUUGGGACUGAGAUACGGCCCAGACUCCUACGGGAGGCAGCAGUGGGGAAUAUUGCACAAUGGGCGGAAGCCUGAUGCAGCAACGCCGCGUGCGGGAUGACGGCCUUCGGGUUGUAAACCGCUUUCGCCUGUGACGAAGCGUGAGUGACGGUAAUGGGUAAAGAAGCACCGGCUAACUACGUG
rnacentral:rRNA from 1 species